ACGCUGGCGGCACGCCUAACACAUGCAAGUCGAACGAAGUAGCAAUACUUAGUGGCAGACGGGUGAGUAACAUGUAGGUAUCUGCCCUUUGGCCUGGAAUAACACGAGGAAACUUGUGCUAAUACCGGAUAAGUCUUUACGGAGAAAGCUUUAUGCACCAUUGGAUGAGCCUGCACUUGAUUAGUUUGUUGGUGGGGUAAUGGCCUACCAAGACUGUGAUCAAUAGCUGAUUUGAGAGGAUGAUCAGCCACAUUGGGACUGAGACACGGCCCAAACUCCUACGGGAGGCAGCAGUGGGGAAUCUUGCACAAUGGAGGAAACUCUGAUGCAGCGAUGCCGCGUGAGUGAAGAAGGCCCUUGGGUUGUAAAGCUCUUUCGUCGGGGAAGAAAAUGACUGUACCCGAAUAAGAAGGUCCGGCUAACUUCGUGCCAGCAGCCGCGGUAAUACGAAGGGACCUAGCGUAGUUCGGAAUUACUGGGCUUAAAGAGUUCGUAGGUGGUUGAAAAAGUUGGUGGUGAAAUCCCAGAGCUUAACUCUGGAACUGCCAUCAAAACUUUUCAGCUAGAGUAUGAUAGAGGAAAGCAGAAUUUCUAGUGUAGAGGUGAAAUUCGUAGAUAUUAGAAAGAAUACCGAUUGCGAAGGCAGCUUUCUGGAUCAUUACUGACACUGAGGAACGAAAGCAUGGGUAGCGAAGAGGAUUAGAUACCCUCGUAGUCCAUGCCGUAAACGAUGUGUGUUAGACGUUGGAAAUUUAUUUUCAGUGUCGCAGCGAAAGCGAUAAACACACCGCCUGGGGAGUACG
rnacentral:rRNA from 1 species